GACGAACGCUGGCGGCGUACUUAACACAUGCAAGUCGAACGGUGAAAGCGGAGCUUGCUCCGCUGGAUCAGUGGCGAACGGGUGAGUAACACGUGGGCAACCUGCCCCUCACUUCGGGAUAACUCCGGGAAACCGGGGCUAAUACCGGAUAUGACCUCCUUGGGCAUCCUUGGAGGUGGAAAGUUUUUCGGUGAGGGAUGGGCCCGCGGCCUAUCAGCUUGUUGGUGAGGUAGUGGCUCACCAAGGCGACGACGGGUAGCCGGCCGGAGAGGGCGACCGGCCACACUGGGACUGAGACACGGCCCAGACUCCUACGGGAGGCAGCAGUGGGGAAUAUUGCGCAAUGGGCGAAAGCCUGACGCAGCAACGCCGCGUGCGGGAUGACGGCCUUCGGGUUGUAAACCGCUUUCAGCAGGGAAGAAGCCGCAAGGUGACGGUACCUGCAGAAGAAGCACCGGCUAACUACGUGCCAGCCGCCGCUGUAA
rnacentral:rRNA from 1 species